UCAUCCAGAUCCUCAUCAGCCAGGGAUGUUUCAUUGAUUUCCAAGACAGGCAUGGCAACACCCCUCUCCAUGUGGCCUGCAAAGAUGGAAACAUGCCAAUUGUGGUGGCCCUCUGUGAAGCAAACUGCAAUUUGGAUAUCCCUAACAAGUAUGGACAAACGCCCCUACACCUUGUAGCCAACUACAGGAUCCUGGAUGUAGUCUGCAUCCCUCUGUCAGACAGGAGCCAAUGUGGAGGCGCUCACCUCGGAUAGAAAGCAGAAGAUCUUGCUAAAUCAGAACAGCGUGAACAUGUAGCAGCUCUCCUUGCAAAACUUUGAAAGGAAUUGGCGAUUUCAGUGUGUGGGAGUACUCUGGAAAUCCUGUUUACUUCUGCUGUUAUAAUUAUUUUGCUGCAAAUGAUCCCACAUUGAUCCAUGUUAUUGUUUUUAGUCAUGAGGAGUCUAUGAGAUUCAUCUGAAUCAAGAAAUUUUCUGGCUCAGUUUCCUGAAGUCACUUAUGCCCAUAGAAGAGCCCAUAGAUAGAAGAAACUUGAU